ACACAUGCAAGUCGAGGGUUUGAUUUAUCAAGCACUGGCAUCCGGGUGAGUAACGCGUAGGUCAUCUGCCCCUAUCACAGACAUAACAGUUCUAACGGACUGCUAAUAUCUGAUGAGGCGAGUAAUCGUCAAAGCUUAGGCGGAUAGGGAUGAGCCUGCGUCUGAUUAGGUAGUUGGUGAGGUAAUGGCUCACCAAGCCUUCGAUCAGUAGCUGGUCUGAGAGGACGAACAGCCACACUGGAACUGAGACACGGUCCAGACUCCUACGGGAGGCAGCAGUGAGGAAUAUUGGUCAAUGGGCGCAAGCCUGAACCAGCGACGCCGCGUGCGGGAUGAAGGGGCUUUGCCUCGUAAACCGCUGUCGGGUGGGACGAAAGGUAGCUUUGAGCUACUGGGACGGUACCAUCAAAGGAAGGAUCGGCUAACUACGUGCCAGCAGCCGCGGUAAUACGUAGGAUCCGAGCGUUGUCCGGAGUUACUGGGUGUAAAGGGUGCGUAGGCUGUUCUGUGCGUCAGAGGUGAAAUCCACGGGCUUAACUCGUGGGGUGCCUUUGAUACGGCAGGGCUUGAGUACGAGAGAGGUGCGUGGAAUUCCUGGUGUAGCAGUGAAAUGCGUAGAUAUCAGGAGGAACACCGGUGGCGAAGGCGGCGCACUGGCUCGUAACUGACGCUGAGGCACGAAAGCGUGGGGAUCAAACAGGAUUAGAUACCCUGGUAGUCCACGCCUUAAACGAUGCAUGCUUGGUGUUGGUCUCGCAAGAGAUCAGUGCCGUAGUUAACAUGAUAAGCAUGCCACCUGGGGAGUACGAUCGCAAGGUUGAAACUCAAAGGAAUUGACGG
rnacentral:rRNA from 1 species